rnacentral:rRNA from 1 species
UACGUAGGGGGCAAGCGUUGUCCGGAAUUAUUGGGCGUAAAGAGCGCGUAGGCGGUCCGAUAAGUCGGCUGUGAAAGUCAAAGGCUCAACCUUUGAAUGCCGCUGGAAACUGUCUGGCUAGAGUCCGGGAGGGGCGAGUGGAAUUCCUGGUGUAGCGGUGAAAUGCGCAGAUAUCAGGAGGAACACCAAUGGCGAAGGCAGCUCGCUGGAACGGUACUGACGCUGAGGCGACGAAAGCGUGGGGAGCGAACAGG